ensembl:misc_RNA 7SK 7SK RNA
GGAUGUGAAGGUGAUCUGGCUGCAACAUCUGUCACCUCAUUGACAUCAUCGGCAGUGUUGAUUCGGCUGAUCUGGCUGGCUAGGCAGGUGUCCCCUUCCUCCCUCAUCGCUCCAUGUGCAUCCUUCCCCAAGCUGUGUGCUCUGUUGAAGAGGACUGCCUUCCCCAAAUAGAGAUGGACGGGUCUUCAGUGGAGGGUAUACAAGUAGCUGCGCUCCCCUGCUAGAACCUCCAAACAAGCUUUCAAAGUAUGCCACAAUCAUGAAAAUUAGUGAACUACAAAAAAACAAGAAAUUACAAAAAAAAAAAAACCUCAGAGAUGAUACUACAUAUUUAUCAAAAAUCAGAAUCUGAUUUUUUUAUCUUU